rnacentral:rRNA from 1 species
UACGGAGGGGGCGAGCGUUAUUCGGAAUUAUUGGGCGUAAAGGGCGCGUAGGCGGCCUUGCAAGUCAAAGGUGAAAUCCCUCGGCUCAACUGAGGAACUGCCUUUGAAACUGUAAGGCUUGAGGCCGGGAGGGGGUAGCGGAAUUCCCAGUGUAGCGGUGAAAUGCGUAGAUAUUGGGAGGAACACCAGUGGCGAAGGCGGCUACCUGGACCGGUUCUGACGCUGAUGCGCGAAAGCGUGGGUAGCAAACAGG